ACCUCCCCCGCUGUCCCUCAACGGGCGGUUACACGUACGCAGCAUCCCCCGUCUCAAUAACCUCUCCGAUUCGAAGCUCGUGAGUGCAUGAAAGAAAAGCCCAUGAGAAUUCUCCCUGCUCAUUGCCACGGGGGGAUAUUUCUCCAUCUCGCACUGGUAUCGACCUCUACUCUUCUCCAAUACCUCCAUCCACUUUCAUAGUCCCCAAAUCACCAUGCCCCAUGGUUCAAACGGAGGAACGAGACACGGCACAGCCAAACCCCCCCCCCAAAAGUCCCUGAACAAAUCAGCGAGGUGAGAAUGCUCGUUGGCUUGCAGUCUUGUUCGAGUUGACAGGUAACUCGUUAGGGGCUUUGGGUUCUCGUCUAGCUCCCCCUUUCCCCCGCUCUCGCUACGUAAGAGGUCAUUUGGAGCUGUUUCCUUGUUGUUCAUGCACAUUAGUGACAGAUAUGGAGGUUGCAGAAGCGACAUGAAUUUAACGGGGAAUUCAACAAAUUACUAUGACCUGAUUUGUAUUUUCGCCCUUUUUUUUUGGAUGUAUCGUAAACCAUUGUUUGACAAAAAUAGGACCAAAGCGUUUGCUUGCACGAGGAAACACGAGAAACACGAGAAACAAAACCCCCCGAUUUUGUAGGAAACUGAGAAAAAACUGUCUGAACUACUAGGUUUGUAUCUAAUUAGGUAUUUCCCUUCCAUCAUUUUGCUUGCAUUCCAAAUUUCCCAUGGCCUUCGCUUUUUCAAAACAGCAAUAGAAUAGGAAACAAAAAAAAAAAAAAAAAAAAAAAAAAAAGAAAGGGUGCAGGUGCUGAAUAACGCCACGAACAAUGCCAAAGGAAGAUAUGUGUAUGGGGUUUGCCUCUUGUGUUGUUGAGUUAAGUACCUCGUUUUUUUUUUCUUUCUUAUUCUUUUUUUUUUUUUUCAUUUUUCUUUCCUAUCCUAUCUUCGCAUAAGGAAGGAUACAGUCUCGCCAAAUGCCAUGGGAGCCAGAAAGGCAGGAAGAGAGAAGGUAAAGGGAAAGGCAACAAGGUGAAAGAGAACCUGUCAAUUAAAAAUACAACCUUGUCUUGGGGGAAACCCUUGUCCCUUUCAAGCGUGCAUUACAUUGGUAGUUCGCAACUACUGGUGGUGGUGGUGGUGGUGCGGUGCGUGCGGGGCCAAAGAUUGGAUGGCCAACCCCCCCUCGGAAAAUAGAACGCAUAAACAUUCGCUUGGGGCCCAGCACUACCGUAAUGACACCCCAGACCUCUUCGUAAACAUCCGUGCCGCGAUAUUCAUCGACAUCAACUCCUGGAAAAGAAGCUUGGCGGCGUAAGGAAUGUGGACCUGCGAGAUCUUGUUCUUGUUUUUGCAAGCCCGACAUUCAAAGUCGCCCUUCUUUAGUUUCGCAAUGGGUGUCAUCAGCCCACAUAUAUCGCAGAUGUGGACACGGAAUGGAUCAGAUACGUCAAAUAAUCUUUCCUUGAGGAAUGCACUUGCACCGUGAGCAAUCAUACAAUCGCGUUCCAUCUCUCCGAAUCGAAGACCACCAUCUCUCGCCCGACCUUCGACGGGCUGGCGUGUGAGAAUCUGGGUUGGGCCACGUGCGCGUGCGUGGAUCUUAUCAUCGACCAUGUGUCGUAGACGUUGGUAGUAAGUUGGACCCAGGAAAACCUGGGCAACCAGCUUUCGACCUGUGUAGCCAUUGUACAUCACCUCGAAGCCGCGGGACUGAUAUCCGUGUUCACGGAGCAAGCUGGAGAUGGAAUCCACCGUCACGUCUGUAAACGGCGUCGCAUCACCUUCAAACCCACGUAGUGAAGAAACUUUGCUGAGCUGGCACUCGAUCAAAUGAGCAAUGGUCAUUCG
rnacentral:sRNA from 1 species